rnacentral:rRNA from 1 species
AUGCUAAGUGGAAAACGUUGUGAAGGUGCAUAGACAACUAGGAGGUUGGCUCAGAAGCAGCCACCCUUUAAAGAGUGCGUAAUAGCUCACUAGUCAAGUGCUCUUGCGCGGAUAAUGUACCGGGGCUAAGCAUAUUACCGAAACUGUGGAUGCGUAAGCAUGGUAGGAUAGCGUAAUUAACGCGAUGAAGGAUGACCGUAAGGACAUGUUGGAGCGUUAACUAGUGAGAAUUCCGGUAUGAGUAGCGAAAGAUAGGUGAGAAUCCUAUCCACCGAAUGAGUAAGGUUUCCCCCGGAAGGCUCGUCCGCGGGGGGUUAGUCGGGACCUAAGGCGAGGCUGAAAAGCGUAGUCGAUGGACAACAGGUUGAUAUUCCUGUACCGAUAUUUAAUUGCCGAAGGAAGGACGCAGAAGGAUAACACAGGCCACUAUUGGAUGUGGUUUUAAACAGUUAGUCUUCAUAAGAGUCAAAUGCUUUUAUGUUUAAGGAUAAGCUGUGAAUGUACCAAGUUUACUUGGAAAUUGUGUGAUUUCACGCUGCUGAAAAAAGUUUCGUAGGAAGAAAAUAUUGCCCGUACCGCAAACCGACACAGGUACUCAAGUGGAGAACACUAAGGUGAGCGAGUGAACUAUUGUUAAGGAACUCUGCAAAAUGAGUCCGUAACUUCGGAAGAAGGACUGCUGGUUUUAUACCAGCCGCAGCAAAUAGGCCCAAACAACUGUUUAUCAAAAACACAGGUUUCUGCAAAAUCGUAAGAUGAAGUAUAGGGGCUGACGCCUGCCCAGUGCUGGAAGGUUAAAAGGAGGACUUAGCUUCGGCGAAGGUCUUAAUUGAAGCCCCAGUGAACGGCGGCCGUAACUAUAACGGUCCUAAGGUAGCGAAAUUCCUUGUCGGGUAAGUUCCGACCCGCAUGAAAGGCGUAAUGAUUUGGGCGCUGUCUCAACAAUAGACUCGGUGAAAUUUAAAUUCCAGUGAAGAUGCUGGGUACCCGCGACAGGACGGAAAGACCCCGUGGAGCUUUACUGUAGCUUGAUAUUGAAUGUUUGUGCUGCAUGUGCAGGAUAGGUAGGAG